CCUUUGCCAGAUAAGACGCUUCUACUUCUUCUACUUCUUUUUUCAUGCAGUGAAACAGCGCCCUCUGAAGGUUGUGUACCAUGUUUGACCACACAAACACACACCGGUUAACACGAGGCAGCCUCACCUGAAGACAGGUGAAGGCGACAAAAAUAUAAAAGAAUCAAACGGUCAGAAACGGUGAAUAAAAUCUCCGUGAAGUCAGACGGUUAUAAUCUGUUGCCACAACAAACACAAACGUAAAAAUGGCACGUUUACAUGGAAGAAACAGGAGACGCUAGCCCGUAUGUCGGUGCUAAUGCUAUUAGCUGUUAGCAUCGAUGGCGUUCGGCUAAUGUGGGACAUAAACGGAUACUUCACAUCCACGAAAGAAAGAAAAGAAAACGUCGACAUCAAACGGUGUCACCACUUCGUCAACAACAUCGUCCGCGAUCACAGAGAGUCUUUGUAAAAUGAAGAAGUUGUUUGAGACCAGGACAGAGGCCUCCAGGUGUCUCCACUUCGUCAACGACAUCGUCCAUGAUCGCAGAGACAUGGUCCAUGAUCGGAGAGACAUUGUUGAGGAUGAGGGAGACAUCGUCCACGAUCAGAGACAUUGUCCACGAUCGCAGAGACCUUGUCAAAGAUGAGAGAGAUGUUGUCCUUGAUCAGAGACAUUGUCCCAUGCUUCGUAGAGACCUUGCGAUAGAAUCGGCGGAGACGGGGGUCACCGAUUUGACGGCACUGCCCGCGAUCAUGGAGACAUUUGUUGAUGGUCACAGAGACACCGUCUAUGAUCUCAGAGACAUCGUCCACGAUCAUAGAGACAUCGUCCAUGAAUCACAGAGACUUUGUCCAUAAUCUCAGAGACAUUGUCCGCGAUCACAGAGACGUAGUCCACAAUCACAGAGAGUCUUCGUACAAUGAAGAAGUUCUUUGAGACCAGGACAGAGGCCUCCAGGUGUCUCCACUUCGUCAACGACAUCGUCCACGAUCGCAGAGACAUGGUCCAUGAUCUGAGAGACAUUGUUGAGGAUGAGGGAGACAUCGUCCAUGAUCAGAGUCAUUGUCCAUGAUCACAGAGACUUUGUCAAAGAUGAGAGAGACGUUGUCCUUGAUCAGAGACAUUGUCCCAUGCUUCGUAGAGACCUUGCGAUAGAAUCGGCGGAGACGGGGGUCACCGAUUUGACGGCACUGCCCGCGAUCAUGGAGACAUUUGUCAAUGGUCACAGAGACACCGUCUAUGAUCUCAGAGACAUCGUCCACGAUCACAGAGACAUCGUCCAUAAUCACAGAGACUUUGUCCAUAAUCUCAGAGACAUUGUCCGCGAUCACAGAGACGUAGUCCACAAUCACAGAGAGUCUUCGUACAAUGAAGAAGUUCUUUGAGACCAGGACAGAGGCCUCCAGGUGUCUCCACUUCGUCAACGACAUCGUCCAUGAUCGCAGAGACAUGGUCCAUGAUCGGAGAGACAUUGUUGAGGAUGAGGGAGACAUCGUCCAUGAUCAGAGUCAUUGUCCAUGAUCACAGAGACUUUGUCAAAGAUGAGAGAGACGUUGUCCUUGAUCAGAGACAUUGUCCCAUGCUUCGUAGAGACCUUGCGAUAGAAUCGGCGGAGACGGGGGUCACCGAUUUGACGGCACUGCCCGCGAUCAUGGAGACAUUUGUCAAUGGUCACAGAGACACCGUCUAUGAUCUCAGAGACAUCGUCCACGAUCACAGAGACAUCGUCCAUAAUCACAGAGACUUUGUCCAUAAUCUCAGAGACAUUGUCCGCGAUCACAGAGACGUAGUCCACGAUCACACAGUCUUUGUAAAAUGAAGAAGUUGUUUGAGACCAGGACAGAGGCCUCCAGGUGUCUCCACUUCGUCAACGACAUCGUCCAUGAUCGCAGAGACAUGGUCCAUGAUCGGAGAGACAUUGUUGAGGAUGAGGGAGACAUCGUCCAUGAUCAGAGUCAUUGUCCAUGAUCACAGAGACUUUGUCAAAGAUGAGAGAGACGUUGUCCUUGAUCAGAGACAUUGUCCCAUGCUUCGUAGAGACCUUGCGAUAGAAUCGGCGGAGACGGGGGUCACCGAUUUGACGGCACUGCCCGCGAUCAUGGAGACAUUUGUCAAUGGUCACAGAGACACCGUCUAUGAUCUCAGAGACAUCGUCCACGAUCACAGAGACAUCGUCCAUAAUCACAGAGACUUUGUCCAUAAUCUCAGAGACAUUGUCCGCGAUCACAGAGACGUAGUCCACGAUCACAGAGAGUCUUCGUACAAUGAAGAAGUUGUUUGAGACCAGGACAGAGGCCUCCAGGUGUCUCCACUUCGUCAACGACAUCGUCCAUGAUCGCAGAGACAUGGUCCAUGAUCGGAGAGACAUUGUUGAGGAUGAGGGAGACAUCGUCCAUGAUCAGAGUCAUUGUCCAUGAUCACAGAGACUUUGUCAAAGAUGAGAGAGACGUUGUCCUUGAUCAGAGACAUUGUCCCAUGCUUCGUAGAGACCUUGCGAUAGAAUCGGCGGAGACGGGGGUCACCGAUUUGACGGCACUGCCCGCGAUCAUGGAGACAUUUGUCAAUGGUCACAGAGACACCGUCUAUGAUCUCAGAGACAUCGUCCACGAUCACAGAGACAUCGUCCAUAAUCACAGAGACUUUGUCCAUAAUCUCAGAGACAUUGUCCGCGAUCACAGAGACGUAGUCCACGAUCACACAGUCUUUGUAAAAUGAAGAAGUUGUUUGAGACCAGGACAGAGGCC